CACCGCGGUUAUACGAGAGGCCCAAGUUGAUAGACUCCGGCGUAAAGAGUGGUUAAGACACAUCUACUAAAACUAAAGCCGAACGCCCUCAGGGCUGUUAUACGCUCCCGAAGGUAAGAAGUUCAAUCACGAAAGUGGCUUUAUAUCAGCUGAACCCACGAAAGCUAUGACA
rnacentral:rRNA from 1 species